rnacentral:rRNA from 1 species
CCUACGGGAGGCAGCAGUGGGGAAUAUUGCACAAUGGGGGAGACCCUGAUGCAGCGACGCCGCGUGAGGGAAGAAGUAUUUCGGUAUGUAAACUUCUAUCAGCCGGGAAGAAAAUGACGGUACCUGACUAAGAAUCCCCGGGUAACUACGUGCCAGCAGCCGCGGUAAUACGUAGGGGGCAAGCGUUAUCCGGAUUUCCUGGGUGUAAAGGGAGCGUAGACGGAAAGGCAAGUCAGAAGUGAAAACCCAAGGCUCAACCAUGGGACUGCUUUUGAAACUGUCAAACUAGAGUACGGGAGAGGUAAGAGGAAUGCCUAGUGUAGCGGUGAAAUGCGUAGAUAUUAGGAGGAACACCAGUGGCGAAGGCGUCUUACUGGACCGAAACUGACGUUGAGGCUCGAAAGCGUGGGGAGCAAACAGGAUUAGAUACCCCUGUAGUC